ensembl:lncRNA
UUCCCCGUGCCCUACGCGAUGGGGAGUGCUGGGGGACCAGAGCCGCCCCCGGGGGUGGGGGUCUAGCGAAGCUUGUGUGGUCUAAAAAAAAUUCCACAUUCACCAUGUAUAUAUGUAAUUACUGAUUUUUGCUGAUCUCUACCGUAUUCUCUCUAGGUGCUUCUCUUUUUACCCCCACAGCUGAAGAAAAUAAGAUUCCUAUAACCUUUCCCAUGUGGACUUCUGGUCUGACUUUUCGUCCUGACGCUCCUUCCCGCACGCCUAUAAUUGUGUGGUACCCUUUUGGAGACGGUGGGAGAAGGAUUGCAUGGAAUCGGCAUACGGGACUGCCAUGUGCUGAGUACGUCUGGAAACUGUUUUCUCUCUAGCUGCCCAACCGUGAAAGAUUUUUUUACCCCAAUGUUGUGGUCCAGUACACGACAAUCUUGACAUAGUGUGUUUUGAAACCUUAAAGGCUGUAGUCUUUCUAAACUCAUCUGAAAAAAUGCUCGAUGUCACUUUGAAAGAGCUAGGGCUGAUGUUAAACUUGGCAAAUGCCCUGUUUUAUUGACCCAAUAGGUAUGCUUCUAUGCUUUGUGUUCACUAAGAAAACUUUUGAAGUCUGAGUUGAUUAAAACUUGCAGCAGAAGCACCAGGAGACAAAUAAAACAAACCUACAGUGGAACAUUUAAACAUUACAUGACUUUUGAAGCCAAUAAUGUGAUUUUAUACAUAUGUAUACUUUUUUUUUUUUUUAAUGUGAUUCAGGAACUUCUCACGCUGCAGUUUGAUACUGCUGCAGAUUUGCCCCCGUGUCACUAUCCAAAGUCCCAGAGGGGCCCUGAGUCAAAUGAAGGAUUAGAAGUGAGAGAGCUUCCCAGGUUUUCUGUACAGCCCUCUGGCAGUGUGUUUUCCUGGAGAGCUUCACUUAGAUUCAGGACAGCUGGAAGAGCUGAGUAUUGUACAAAAGAGGCUCAGCAAACUUGUGUUUCACCACUCCUGACAUUCAUCCUACCCAGUUAGCACACCAUUGGAUAUCUGUUUGGGCUUUUCACCUGUGGAACACAACCAGCUGAAGAUUUCCGUAGCAACAGAAUUCCAUCUAGAGUGUUCAAAUGGAAGCACAGAAGCAUUGGAAGCUGAAAGUUCCUCCUGAUGUUGCAUUCCUGUCCAGGUCUUUCAACAACUGGAACUCUAUUGUCUGGAAGCUCCUACCCUGGUGGCUCAGACAGGGCUUGAUGGUAACAUGAAAAUACUGGCCAAGACUGGGAAGAGAGAAGACUGCCCCUGGUAAUGUAACAAAAAAGUCCAGAGGAAGAGUGAGCCCAUUCUGUUGAAGAAUUAGAAUUACCUAUAAUAAUAUCUAUGUUAGAUCUAGAUAUUAGAUAAUAUCUAAUAUCUAGAUCUAGAUAAUGUAGAUAACUAGAUAAUUAUCUAAUUAUCUAUAUUAGAAUGAGAAACUCAGCCCUGCAAGAUCAGUCUCCAUUUCCUCUGGUCUCUCACAGCAUGCAACACCCUCGAGUGCUGUGUUGCAGGACAACUGUAUGAGGUUCAACAAGACUCAGGGCCAGGUGCUGUACUUGGGUCAUAACAACCCCAGGAAGUGCUACAGGCUGGGGGAAGAGGGGCUGGAAAUGAGCCAGCAGUGCCCAGGUGUCCAAGGCUGAUGCCAUCCUGGCCUGUGUCAGGAGCAGUGUGGCCAGCAGGAGCAGGGCUGUGAUUGUCCCCAUGAAUUCAGCACUGGUGAGGCCACACCUCGAGUGCUGUGUUCAGUUCUGGGCCCCUCACCACAAGGAAGACUUUGAGGGGCUGGAGUGGGUCCAGAGAAGGGCAGUGGAGGUGGGGAAGGGUCUGGGGCACAAGUCUGAUGAGGAGCAGCUGAGGGAGCUGGGGGUGUUCAGCCUGGAGAAAAGGAGGAUCAGGGGAGACCUUAUCCCUCUCUACAACUGCCUGAAAGGAGGGUGCAGCCAGGGGGUUGGUCAGUCUAAUCUCCCAAGUAGCAAGAAACAAGAUGAGAAGUGGCCUCUAGUUGCAUCAGAGGAGAUUUAGGCUAGAUAUUAAGAAAAAUUCUUUGCCAAAAGGGUGGUCAGGCAUUGGAACAAGCUGUCCAUAGAAUGGACAUCACUGUCCCUUGAAACAUUCAAAAAAAUGUGGAUGUGGCACUUAGGAACAUGGUUUAGUUGGGUUAACAGUUGAAAUGAAUCACCUUAUCAUCUUUAGGUCUUUUCCAACCUAAAAAUUUCUGUGAUUUUAAGUCAAUAAACCCCAUCACUGCUGCA